rnacentral:misc_RNA from 1 species
CUGAAUUGCAGUUCUUCUCAGCAGUGGUAUAGAAUCUGAUUAUUUCAGCUGUACUUCAUAUGAUGGUGGAUGAUAGUGGCAACUUGUCUGUUGAAGAGUGGCUCUCGCGUGCACAAGAACUUGUGCCUGUUGCACUUGAGAAGGCAAGAGAGGUGAAAGGAUUCCCCAGUAGAUGGAGGAUGAUUAUCUCAAAAUUGGAACAG